CAUUUAGCUCAGACAGCUCUGCCUGCCCAUUUCAAUGUGUCCAUUAUUCAACAUAUUGCUACAAAUAGAUUGCUUGCAAAUAAAAUGGUCUAUUUGAAAAUCGAUAUAUUCAUUGCACGUGACUGAAUGUGUUAAUGACAUCUGAGAACAGAAAGAAGCACCUUUCCACUAUAAUUCCUACAUCAAAAAUCACUAAGACAGGAUGACGUGGGGCUGGAGACCGAUUUUAUUAUGACAAAUGUACAAGAUCAUAUUCAUAUGAAAUAACAGUAAAGUUAACAAAAACGUAAGGAGCAGACAAAGCACCAACAACCAGUCAACUAGCAUCUAUACACAGUGGGCAGGGUGUUUCCUCCCAGCUUCAUCAUGAGGUAAAUAGGAAACUAACACUUUUCUCAUUGGCACCGACUUGCUCCUUUAAUCCCAUCGGCCUUUAUUUGCUCGGCUCCUCUCUUCUAUGCAGGAGAGGAGAUAAUAAUACCUUCUCAUUUAAAACAUGGUUACACGCGGACGUCCACGUUCCUCGACUGUCGACUCCACCCGCCAGAACACAUACCGCUAUUAUUACAGGUGUAGAAUCGGGUUUUCUACGUUCUGUCCAGCUAAUCUAAACGCUAAAUGUGUGUGUGUGUGUGUGUGUGUGUGCGUGCGUGCAUGCUUGGAGGCCAAAGUCGUACUUCUUUUGUCGUGGAGGUCUUGGCCAUCGCUGGUUAUUUGUAAAACAGCAUGAUAAAUAGAGUGGUUUCUCCUCUGUGAAGACCAUGCUGAGACUAAUUUACAAAAUAUGUUACAAACAUGUUACAAGCUUGAUUUCAUCACUUGACUCAGCUGUCCAAGAUUAUUUUCUAGAUAAAUCCCGCCCCCCCCUAAGCUUCUGCAACAUGCCUUUUAUAGGUCAGUGCAUGCUUGCCUGUGCAGCUUCGCCGGUAAACCACGAGAUGCUGCACGCCGUUCAGCGCUGUUGCAACACCACGCCGGGAGAAUCCUUACAAAUAUGCCAAACGGUUUCUGGUUUUGUGCCGAUAUUACUUCCCUACAAAAGAAAACCAUUAAAAACUCAUGCAAUCCCGAAGAAUUGCCCGAUAUAUUUUUUCCAUUAUAAAAAAAUGCCUCUAAAUAUAUUACAGCAAGAAACUAGAGAUAUACACAGACUGGUUCCAGCAGAGGUCGUGGAGUCAUUGGUUGGUUCUUUUUGUCGAUGUUCCCUCAUUAAGAAACUGCAGACAGGUUACAGACACAAAUUAGUCCAAGUUGGUCAUUCUUCACAAUCUUGAUUUGGUUUCAGGUCUUAAAAGUCUGCAUUUUACAUCUAUUUGACCCCAAAAUAAACUCAAGAUUAUGAAAAUAGAGAAGAAAACAAAAGGGGUAUUUUGGAUCUUAGUGUUUUCUCAGCAACACACUUUAGCAGGUUUUUUAACCUUUCUAUAAAGGACAAUGUACAAAUAAAAAAAAUAAGACACUUUACAUUUCAAGAGACAACAAAUUAAAGUUUAGAUAUACAAAAAGAAAUGCAUUAAAAAAUAAAAGUCACAAAAGUUAACACAAUGUAAUAAGGGGGAACUAGACUAAAGCUCAUGAUUACAUGUGUGAACCAGAACAAACACUCAGGAUUCCAACGGAUGGAAGUUAAACUUGUAUGUUUACAAUGUACAAAAGCUACGCUAUCACUCAACGAAUGAAGGUCCGUCGACUUGUUUUUAAAUGGGUUAUUUGACCAGAAUAUAUAGUCUCAUCUAAAGCUCUAACAAAUCAGGUUUGAAUGGCACAGUGCAUAGCUAGCUACUGUUAGCUUAGCAUAGUCUGGAUAGCUAAAGCAGACAAACAAGCAGAAAGAGGCUCACUUGUAGCUAAGCCAAGCUAAGCUAGGCUAAGCUAAGCUAGCCUGAUUCUGCAACAAGUCAAAUAAAUGAUCACUUCUCCCAAAAUGGAAAACUAUUUUCGGAUAAAAACGUACCACCACGAUUCAAUUAAAUGCCCAGAACCUUAAAUCAUCUGUGGAACAAAUUCUUCUUCAAAAAUCUUUAAAAGUCAUUGAGCAGUGGAAUAAAAAUGCCUCCACACCUUCCUGCGCUUUGAACUCAUUUCAUUUUGAAGCAAUGAGGAGAGCACAAGAUACGAUCUGUAGAUGAUGAAGAUGUUAGAAGGAGCUGGUUUGGCAGUACGGAGAUAAAAGACGCCGCCGAUGAAGGAAUUAAGCGUCGGCUGUUUGGUUCCCUCGAUGUAGAACAAUCCCACAGGGACAGACUGCUGGAUCCAGUUCUUUGCUGAGACUCGAGGUCCAGAUGACACAAGUUAGAAGGCCAAUAAGGAAGUGUGG
ensembl:lncRNA